GGACCCGUAGCUCAGUUGGUUAGAGCAUAAGACUUAGAAUCUUAGGGUCCCGGGUUCAAGUCCCGGCGGGUCCA
rnacentral:tRNA from 1 species